GUAUCCUUGGAAUGUCGAUAUUGAGAUAGAUGGACCCCUAGCCAACCAUGCUAGUCGCUCUUCAAUUGUGUCAUCACCCAUCAGUCGUCACCGCAACCAAGAGGCGAAAGUAUCAAUGUGAUGAUGUGUAAUCUAGACUUCAGUCUUCCCCUGAUUUGAGGACCGUACAAUGGUCUUGUGCUCCUUCAAGUGUGGAGCCACCAGGGAUGAUUGUUGCAGAACCGUGAAGUGUGCUUUAU
rnacentral:lncRNA from 1 species